CUACGUGCCAGCAGCCGCGGUAAUACGUAGGUCCCGAGCGUUGUCCGGAUUUAUUGGGCGUAAAGCGAGCGCAGGCGGUUAGAUAAGUCUGAAGUUAAAGGCUGUGGCUUAACCAUAGUACGCUUUGGAAACUGUUUAACUUGAGUGCAAGAGGGGAGAGUGGAAUUCCAUGUGUAGCGGUGAAAUGCGUAAAUAUAUGGAGGAACACCGGUGGCGAAAGCGGCUCUCUGGCUUGUAACUGACGCUGAGGCUCGAAAGCGUGGGGAGCAAACAGGAUUAGAUAMCCCUGGUAGUCCACGCCGUAAACGAUGAGUGCUAGGUGUUAGACCCUUUCCGGGGUUUAGUGCCGCAGCUAACGCAUUAAGCACUCCGCCUGGGGAGUACGACCGCAAGGUUGAAACUCAAAGGAAUUGACGGGGGCCCGCACAAGCGGUGGAGCAUGUGGUUUAAUUCGAAGCAACGCGAAGA
rnacentral:rRNA from 1 species